UACGGGGGGAGCAAGCGUUGUUCGGAUUUACUGGGCGUAAAGGGCGCGUAGGCGGCCUUCUAAGUCAGACGUGAAAUCCCCAGGCUUAACUUGGGAACUGCGUCUGAUACUGGAAGGCUUGAGUGCGGGAGAGGGAUGUGGAAUUCCAGGUGUAGCGGUGAAAUGCGUAGAUAUCUAGAGGAACGCCGGUGGCGAAGGCGGCAUCCUGGACCGACACUGACGCUGAGGCGCGAAAGCUAGGGGAGCAAACGGG
rnacentral:rRNA from 1 species